rnacentral:piRNA from 1 species
UCAGCCUUGUCAUCUACAAAAAGAAGCA